rnacentral:rRNA from 1 species
UAUAGGGGUGAAUCCCAGGGGCUCACCCUGGAACUGCCUCACAAACUCGCUAAGUCUAUGAGUUCGAGAGAGGUGAGUGGAAUUCCGAGUGUAGAGGUGAAAUUCGUAGAUAUUACGGAGGAACACCAGUGGCGAAGGCGGCUCACUGGCUCGAUACUGAC